CACGAAGGGGGCUAGCGUUGCUCGGAAUCACUGGGCGUAAAGGGUGCGUAGGCGGGUCUUUAAGUCAGGGGUGAAAUCCUGGAGCUCAACUCCAGAACUGCCUUUGAUACUGGCGAUCUUGAGUCCGGGAGAGGUGAGUGGAAUUCCGAGUGUAGAGGUGAAAUUCGUAGAUAUUCGGAAGAACACCAGUGGCGAAGGCGGCUCACUGGCCCGUUACCGACGCUCAGGCGCGACAGCGUGGGGAGCAAACAGG
rnacentral:rRNA from 1 species